rnacentral:rRNA from 1 species
GUUAGGAAUAUUGGACAAUGGGCGAAAGCCUGAUCCAGCCAUGCCGCGUGAACGAUGAAGGCCUUCGGGUUGCAAAGUUCUUUAGCCGAUGAUUAUAAUGACUAUAGUCGGAAAAUAAGCCCCGGCUAACUUCGUGCCAGCAGCCGCGGUAAUACGAAGGGGGCGAGCGUUAUUCGGAAUCACUGGGCGUAAAGCGUGCGUAGGCGGCUUUGCAAGUUGGGAGUGAAAGCCCAGGGCUCAACCCUGGAAUUGCUCUCAAAACUGCAAGGCUCGAAUUCGGGAGAGGAUAGCGGAAUUGUCAGUGUAGCAGUGAAAUGCGUAGAUAUUGACAGGAACACCAGUGGCGUAAGCGGCUAUCUGGACCGAUAUUGACGCUGAGGCACGAAAGCGUGGGGAUCAAACAGGAUUAGAAACCCUUGUAGUCC